rnacentral:SRP_RNA from 1 species
GGGCAGGCCGCGGCAGUCGGCCUCACCUGUAAGCUGCUAUGGCCAGGGCGGGGGGCGCUUAUAAGUGACGUGCAA